CCUCCCGCCAUUGCGCAAAAAAAAGAAAAAGAAAAGAAACGAACUAAAUCGAUGCUUUGGUGGCAACAGCUUUGGAUUUUUCCAUCUCACGAGAAUGUAAUAAACUAGUUUUAUUUAAUUGGCAAAUAUGGUAUGGGUAGUGUAGAACAGGUGUACCGGUAAUCAAGAUUCGGCUCAAGGCGUUCUUAUAGAAGUAAACAACUCCAUAUAUGGAUCAUGUUUAAAGCUGUAAAACGUCAGCGUAAACGAAAAGGGUCAACUCGUAGACGAUACACCGAGAAAUAUCGAUAUAAAUACGAAGUUGUUUACGAUAUAAAAGGGUCGAAAACGAACCCAGUCAACUGAACCGAAAACAACAACAACCAACUCUCCUUAUUUGCAUUCACGGACCUCCAAAAUGGCUUCGUGUUUUGAGAAUUUUCGGCCAUGUUGUUAAACAUCGUCACGUCUCGGCUACACUUUUUGUAUAAAUCUCAACAAUAACAACAUUCAAUUUCUUUCCGUAUUUCGUCUAUUUUAAAAGUUCACACUAAUUUAUCUCCUAGUCACGAAGGUCGUUCCAGUUUCCCACUUGCAGCCUUCCUAUCUCCGGGUCUUUUAUCUUUAAGGAUAGGACUCAAAACUUUAAAAAAUAAUAACCACAGCUAAAAACAAACAGCUCAAAAUUGCCAACUAGUUUAACCGCUUCUAGUCUACUGCGCAAUUUUCGACCAGUGUCUUGUUUUCGUUGUCGAAGUCGUCACGAAAAAUUCCCUCAAUUCAUUUUCUCUUCGCCAUAUCGGGGAUGUGAUCAAGAAGGACACUGUAGCCUACACCGGUCAAGUCCAGUUUAAUAAACAAAUAUGACGUAAUGAAAUCGGCUUUCUUUCCAGCAGAGGAUGUCGAUAACAACCGAUUCCCCAUUUCCGUCGUCAAUAUCCCAACAGCAUAAUUAUGGUGAUAGAAACAGACGAGAUGCCGCAGUUAUUGCUGCGAUACGCAAGUAUUCAAGCUAAUUAGAAGUGUCGUCAUUAUUUUAAAAAAAAAAGAAAUCAGAUCUAGCGUGUCUUUUCCGCUUGUGUGUCUGUGUCCUAGAAUUCUCCCGAUAACUUUUCACGCAGCAAAGCACGACUCGUGCACGUGAUCAGAUCACCACACCCCCAGCUACUCCUCCAAACUUCCUCUCACCAAACAACAAAGAAAUUCUAGCUUUUUUCUGAUUUAAAAGACAACGCGGAAACGAUCCAUUUUCGACCAACGAUGAAAAUGGAAACCAGUCUGGAUUUCCUUGAUCUUUUUACAAUGAGAUAGUUCCAAAGUGUUCUUCUUACAAAACAACAACGAAAUGGGAUAAAAGCCGGCCAAGAUACGUUUCUUUAAGCCAUAAUAAACACUUUAAAUGAGUCAGUUCAAGGUUCUUUCUUCUUUCGGUCGGUGAAUUGAACAUACUUUGCUAGAGGAAGUAACAGAAGGGAAAACCACGAGAUUACCUGGACUUAUUCAGCUGCUGCUUGAAGCGGUAAGAACGAUAAAACUGGUUUCCGUGAAAGCAAGCAACCACGAACGAAGUAUUUGCAUGAAGACGUACGUGAGAUUCGGUCAGACAAAGCCUGAAGCUCAACUGCUGUGAGCUACGUGCACUCUUGUUGUUUUGCUGAAAAACAGAUGUCGGAGGAUGAUGGCGAUGGUCGAUGAGACAGAGACGGAGAUAGUAAACUCUUGUGAGCCGAUUUCUUGCAGCGCCACGGGUGUCUGAAAUCCAUAACACAAUCGCAACAGCUUUGGUAGAUGGCAGACUUAAAAGUUUACUAUCUAUAGACCACCCGAUACCGCCACAAGCGAAGUGAGAAAUCCUAGUCUUGAAUAGCCACAAGGCUGUCCUAUCUAUAUUUCCCAAUAGAUACUGAUCAUCACAAGCAAAGAAGUCAAUAAAAAAACUAUAAAUAAACCAUAUGUUUGGUUUCAUCUCUUAAUUCCUUGAAACACCUUGUUCCCUACUGAUCCAUCGACAAAUUUAAAAAAAGCGAACGGAGAAUAAUAACUAAGUUCUAUUUAGAAGGAUUUAGCAGAAUUGUCAUAAAAUAGAUUCUCAGUUGACUAGAUAAAAAUGUCUUCACAACUGAAUAAGCGACUCAUUUUAUCUUAGCAAACGUAACUUCAAUGUGAUAUUUGCAUUGAUCUUUAUUUUCAGCAUGUGAUGCUUCUGUGCAACUAUUUGCUGAUUCAACAUUAACCUACGUAACGUGUUUGCAACUAGAUCAAUUGGCGAUUUAGAAAGAAACAAACUGGGAAAUAUGCAAAGGAACAGAACAUUACGAUAAAAAUGAUUCGCACACAAUUAGAUGGAUCGGGAAAAAGAUUGAAAACAUAAUCAACAAACGAUUCUGUUAAUCUUCUGUUGGUAAGGCACGUCCUCGGUAUGUGUUCUUGUUUUCAUUUCUUUUCUUUUUUUCCCCCUAAGCGACAUUUAACACAAGAACAAAAUUAUCGCACUUUUUUAGGCUGAGGAAUGGCGUUAUUUUAAUUCAGCGACGACCCCUAUUGUCGGAAGGAAUUUUGGAAGGAAUGGUAUAGUAGACCACUACACGUGUAAAAAUGAAAUAACUGAUUAAAAAAUCAAAGAAAAUACACAGAAAUGACAUCAAAUCUGA
rnacentral:lncRNA from 1 species